rnacentral:rRNA from 1 species
UACAGAGGGGGCAAGCGUUGUUCGGAAUUACUGGGCGUAAAGGGCGCGUAGGCGGCCUUCUAAGUCGAACGUGAAAUCCCCGGGCUCAACCCGGGAACUGCGUCCGAUACUGGAAGGCUUGAAUCCGGGAGAGGGAUGCGGAAUUCCAGGUGUAGCGGUGAAAUGCGUAGAUAUUCGCAAGAACACCAGUGGCGAAGGCGGCUCACUGGCCCGGUACUGACGCUGAGGAGCGAAAGCGUGGGGAGCGAACAGG